CUCUCCAUUCUGGAGGCUGGGAGUCCAAGAUCAAGGGGCCAGCUGAUUCAGUUCCUGCUGAGGAAACUGAGAUCCAAUGAGGUUAAGUGACCAGCACGGAGCCCAACUCACAUCUGAUGUGCCCGUCGCUCAGCCUAAAAAAGAAUAUUCUAACCAUUAGAUGUAGCCAGCAAUGGAGUGGCAAGGAUUGCCACAUGGUCUCUUUGCUCUGAGCCUGAUCCAGUAGAGCCUGAGUAACCAUCUGUUAGGGCUACUGAAGAAAGGAGAUCGAUUUAGACAA